rnacentral:rRNA from 1 species
AGAGUUUGAUCCUGGCUCAGGACGAACGCUGGCGGCAUGCCUAAUACAUGCAAGUCGAGCGAACAGAUGAAGUGCUUGCACUUCUGACGUUAGCGGCGAACGGGUGAGUAACACGUAAGGAAUCUACCUAUAAGCGGGGGAUAACAUUCGGAAACGGGUGCUAAUACCGCAUAAUAUCUUCUUCCGCAUGGAAGAAGAUUGAAAGACGGCUCUGCUGUCACUUAUAGAUGACCUUGCGGUGCAUAGUUAGUUGGUGGGGUAACGGCCUACCAAGACGAUGAUGCAUAGCCGACCUGAGAGGGUGAUCGGCCACAUUGGGACUGAGACACGGCCCAAACUCCUACGGGAGGCAGCAGUAGGGAAUCUUCCGCAAUGGGCGAAAGCCUGACGGAGCAAUGCCGCGUGAGUGAAGAAGGCCUUCGGGUCGUAAAACUCUGUUAUAAGAGAAGAACAAAUUGUAGAGUAACUGCUACAGUCUUGACGGUAUCUUAUCAGAAAGCCACGGCUAACUACGUGCCAGCAGCCGCGGUAAUACGUAGGUGGCAAGCGUUGUCCGGAUUUAUUGGGCGUAAAGGGAGCGCAGGUGGUUUCUUAAGUCUGAUGUGAAAGCCCACGGCUUAACCGUGGAGGGUCAUUGGAAACUGGGAAACUUGAGUACAGAAGAGGAAUGUGGAACUCCAUGUGUAGCGGUGGAAUGCGUAGAUAUGUGGAAGAACACCAGUGGCGAAGGCGACAUUCUGGUCUGUUACUGACACUGAGGCUCG